rnacentral:rRNA from 1 species
UACGUAGGGCGCAAGCGUGUCCGGAAUUAUUGGGCGUAAAGAGCUCGUAGGCGGUUUGUUGCGUCGGCUGUGAAAUCCCGAGGCUCAACCUCGGGUCUGCAGUCGAUACGAGCAAACUAGAGUGUUGCAGGGGGAGACUGGAAUUCCUGGUGUAGCGGUGAAAUGCGCAGAUAUCAGGAGGAACACCGGUGGCGAAGGCGGGUCUCUGGGCAACAACUGACGCUGGAGGAGCGAAAGCGUGGGGAGCGAACAGG